UACGGGGGGGCAAGCGUUGUUCGGAAUUACUGGGCGUAAAGGGCGCGUAGGCGGCCUGCUAAGUCGGAUGUGAAAUCCCUCGGCUCAACCGAGGAACUGCAUCCGAUACUGGCGGGCUUGAAUCCGGGAGAGGGAUGUGGAAUUCCAGGUGUAGCGGUGAAAUGCGUAGAUAUCUGGAGGAACACCGGUGGCGAAGGCGGCAUCCUGGACCGGUAUUGACGCUGAGGCGCGAAAGCCAGGGGAGCAAACGGG
rnacentral:rRNA from 1 species